AUGAUGGACUAUAGGACAGGACUGCUGCUUUUAACUAUCUGCUGGGCAGGUGUUGAUGGUCAGACUCUGACAGAAUCUGAACCAGCAGUUAAAAAGCCUGGAGAAUCUCACAAACUGACCUGUACAACAUCUGGAUUCACAUUCAGUAGCUACUGGAUGGCCUGGAUCAGACAGGCUCCUGGAAAAGGACUGGAGUGGAUUGCAGCUAUCAGCAAUGGUGGUGGUAGUAGCAAAUACUACUCUCAGUCAGUUCAAGGCCGGUUCACCAUCUCCAGAGACGACAGCAGAGAGCAGCUGUAUCUGCAGAUGAACAGUCUGAAGACUGAAGAUUCUGCUGUUUAUUAUUGUGCUCGAUAUCCACAGUGACUGAGUUUG